GGUAGAUGAAGGCAGAUGGUCAUUGUCAGUAACAAAAUUAACCUUUUCAUUUAAAACGAUAGAAGAGGCAUCAUGGGCAUUACUUUUUUUGCUUGCAAACAAACUAAGAAAAGAUCUCACUUAGAAGCUUAGUAAAAAAUCGCUAAAUUCUUCACUUACUAUCCAAAUGAUUUUUACACUUCUUUCUUGGUAACCUACUAGGAACAUGUUCAGAACGACAUCUUUUCAUAGCUAAAUCUCGGAUACUUCGAGUUUCAAAAAAAUGUGACACGUUGUUCUACCCUCUUAAAGCCUUAUCGAGGUGUUGUUUUGUUUUUGUGGAACGCGGACUAGAUGGCUAGUGCAUGGUCUAAUGGACUGUACAGGAAUGGUCAAAUAGGCGAUACUUCUUGUCAAAAUAUAGCACUAAAUGCAUUUUUGAACCCUGUAUAUAUUCGAAAAAAAUACAAAUCGUCCUUAUUAAUACAUUUCGUAAGUCAAAAUGAAAUUGCUGAAAUGAAUGUGUUAAGGUAAAGCAAAUAUAGCUAGAUUAAGGCUCAUUUAAACUUAAAUUGAGUAAUAUUUUCUUAAUGUUUUUACAUUUAUCAGUAAGUGCUCCUUCGAAAUGCCUUGUCCAGCUCAUUGAAAUUCAUGGGUCAUACCUUCAAAGGCUGAAGUAUGAAAUCAGGAAGGAUUCACUGAAAUAAAGAAGUCUUUCUGAUGUCUGAUUUGAGUAUACGAUAAACAAAUGUGAAUGUGCAGAUAUGAACAGUAUAAACCAUAGAAAGCCAUGUCAAAGCCGAGGAGAUACAGAUGUUCUACAUAGAUUUGCAGACAAUCCUCCUAGAUAUUCUAUGAGAAAGGAGAGGAAACCUUGGUUUUGCAGCUUCUAUAUGGAAAGUACAGAGGGGUUGUCUUGCUUAACCAAAGUAAGAAAGAGGCAAUCAGAGAAGAUAGCCUACAGAAAAUUAUAAUUCUCAAUCAAUUUAUUUAAGGUAAAAACCUCUUAUACUUCUGAUUCUUUUAGUGCUGCUAUUUAAUCUGUAAUUAUACAUUAUGUCUCCAUGUUUGACCAGACUGAAC